rnacentral:rRNA from 1 species
CCUACGGGAGGCAGCAGUAAGGAAUCUUGCGCAAUGGGCGAAAGCCUGACGCAGCGACGCCGCGUGGGCGAUGAAGGCCUUCGGGUUGUAAAGCCCUUUUCUGGGGGACGAGGAAGGACGGUACCGACAGAAGAAGCCUCGGCUAACUACGUGCCAGCAGCCGCGGUAAAACGUAGGAGGCGAGCGUUGUCCGGAAUUACUGGGCGUAAAGCGUCCGUAGGCGGUGAGGUCAGUCGCACGUGAAAGCCCCGGGCUCAACUCGGGUGAGUGCGUGCGAUACUACCCCACUUGGGUGUCGGAGAGGAAAGCGGAACGGUGCAAGUAGCGGUGAAAUGCGUAGAUAUGCACCGGAACACCGGUGGCGAAGGCGGCUUUCAAGACGGCCACCGACGCUGAGGGACGAAAGCCAGGGGAGCGAACGGGAUUAGAUACCCUUGUAGU